UUUCCGUAGGUGAACCUGCGGAAGGAUCAUUAUUGAUUAUUGUUUGUGUUAUUGCUGAACUUCAGAUGCAUGUUCACGCCCUGCUCAGCCACUUUCCACAUGUACACUUCCUGACGUUAUCAGAUCGUGUAGCGGUCUCUCUUAACAGUGUUUGGAAAGCACAUUUCUGAUUCAGUUUAUCACAAACUAUAUCUUGGAUCUUACUUUGUAUUACAACGCACCAGAUCUCAAUACAACUUUCAUCAACGGAUCUCUUGAUUCUGGCAUCGAUGAAGAACC
rnacentral:misc_RNA from 1 species